rnacentral:rRNA from 1 species
GAUGAACGCUAGCUACAGGCUUAACACAUGCAAGUCGAGGGGUAACAAGAGAAAAGCUUGCUUUUCUUGUUGACGACCGGCGCACGGGUGAGUAACGCGUAUCCAACCUGCCUAUAACUAGGGAAUAACCUUGCGAAAGUAAGACUAAUACCCUAUGAUUUCCUUUGAUGACAUCAGAUUAGGAAUAAAGAUUUAUCGGUUAUAGAUGGGGAUGCGUCUGAUUAGCUUGUUGGCGGGGUAACGGCCCACCAAGGCAACGAUCAGUAGGGGUUCUGAGAGGAAGGUCCCCCACAUUGGAACUGAGACACGGUCCAAACUCCUACGGGAGGCGGCAGUGAGGAAUAUUGGUCAAUGGGCGGAAGCCUGAACCAGCCAAGUAGCGUGCAGGAUGACGGCUCUAUGGGUUGUAAACUGCUUUUAUACAGGAAUAAAGUUAGCCACGUGUGGUUAUUUGUAGGUACUGUAUGAAUAAGGACCGGCUAACUCCGUGCCAGCCGCCGCCGUAA